CCUACGGGUGGCAGCAGUCGAGAAUUUUUCUCAAUGGGCGAAAGCCUGAAGGAGCGACGCCGCGUGGAGGAUGAAGGUUUUCGGAUCGUAAACUCCUGUCAUUGGGGAACAAUUCUACGGGGAGUAACUGCCCUGUAGUUGAUAGUACCCGAAGAGGAAGGGACGGCUAACUCUGUGCCAGCAGCCGCGGUAAUACAGAGGUCCCAAGCGUUGUUCGGAUUCAUUGGGCGUAAAGGGUGCGUAGGCGGCGAGGUAAGUUGGAUGUGAAAUCCCGGGGCUCAACCCCGGAACUGCAUUCAAUACUGCCUUGCUAGAGUAUUGGAGAGGAGAUUGGAAUUCACGGUGUAGCAGUGAAAUGCGUAGAUAUCGUGAGGAAGACCAGUGGCGAAGGCGAAUCUCUGGACAAUAACUGACGCUGAGGCACGAAGGCU
rnacentral:rRNA from 1 species